CGACAUCAUCAUUUGAUUCAGGUGUGUUAGGGGAGACACACAUGGGAAAAAAACUACAACAUAGAUGGCAUUGAGGUCUGGUUUUGGUGAACACUGGCCUAAACUGUCCAAAAAUGUCCGUGCUUAAAUACGUAAGCAGAACAGAAAUUAAUGAGAUGGGUGGAUGACUCUCUUCAACAUACCUGCCUUGGACCAGGUCAAGGUUCGGUCCGCAAACAGGAAAUACCCCCCAAGCCAGAGCGGACUUCUUGCAGGUGCUCUGUCCUUGUGAUGCAUUCAGUUGGAACAUCAAGACCAUGGAAGGGAGAAUCUCACAAGCUGGAGGCAAGAGAUGGACCCCCAAGAUGGCAGAGAAGGGACACGCUGACAUUGUAGAGGCCCCGGGGAAGCUUGUCUCUUGUGGCUCUUAGACAACGCACACUAACCUCCACAGGCUGAGGACUUGUUUUGGGGUACAUCUAUAAAACAAACAAAAGUACAUUUCAAAAAUAGCUUUGUGUUCUUCCCAUUCAAUUCUGAUUAAGAUGAGGAAGUGACAAUUCUAAAGUUUUGAGACACUCCACCACUCAGUAGUCAUUUAAAAUUUGAAAUCCA